ACGGGUGAGUAACACGUGGGCAACCUGCCCUUGAGACUGGGAUAACUUCGGGAAACCGGAGCUAAUACCGGAUAAUAUAAGGAACCUCCUGGUUCCUUAUUGAAAGAUGGUUUCGGCUAUCACUUAAGGAUGGGCCCGCGGCGCAUUAGCUAGUUGGUGAGGUAACGGCUCACCAAGGCGACGAUGCGUAGCCGACCUGAGAGGGUGAUCGGCCACACUGGGACUGAGACACGGCCCAGACUCCUACGGGAGGCAGCAGUAGGGAAUCUUCCACAAUGGACGAAAGUCUGAUGGAGCAACGCCGCGUGAGUGAUGAAGGCCUUCGGGUCGUAAAGCUCUGUUGUUAGGGAAGAACAAGCGCGAGAGUAACUGCUCGCACCUUGACGGUACCUAACCAGAAAGCCACGGCUAACUACGUGCCAGCAGCCGCGGUAAUACGUAGGUGGCAAGCGUUAUCCGGAAUUAUUGGGCGUAAAGCGCGCGCAGGUGGUUUCUUAAGUCUGAUGUGAAAGCCCACGGCUCAACCGUGGAGGGUCAUUGGAAACUGGGGAACUUGAGUGCAGAAGAGGAAAGUGGAAUUCCA
rnacentral:rRNA from 1 species